AAGUCGUAACAAGGUUUCCGUAGGUGAACCCUUGCGGAAGGAUUCAUAACUGAGUUAGGUCUUCAUGGCCCGGAGCCCUCCAACCCUUUGUAGUUAAACAGUACCAGCGUUGUUCGCGGGCCCCGUCCUCUCAGGACCGCCGGGGAGGUUUCCACCUCUCUGGCCCGUUGCCCGCCGGUGGCCAAACCACAAAACUCUUGAUAAACACUGUCGUCUGAGUUACAUUUAUUUAAUUAAAAAAUAAAA
rnacentral:misc_RNA from 1 species